GUCAUCGCAGGAAGUGACCCGGGUCCUGUCCUCUGUGGGGUGGAGCCCGGGGACCCGUGACUGAGAAGAGGCCAGGAAUCCGGCUGCGGCAGUAGGGUAGCAGACAUGCCCCCGGGUACCCUCCCUGCCUGGUCCGGACCUUGCCCGCCCUGCGGAUCCCGAAGCCCGGAGGGGUAGGAUAACCGUCAAGACUCGGAGGACAAGCAGCCGGACCCACCGAAACCAGCUUACGUGAAGAGUUUCCUUGGAAGGAGAGCCGGUUGGUUACACGGCACGUGCAGGAGCCCCCAGUCCCAGGGGUCUGGGAAGAGCAGAACAUACGUGCUAGAAGAGGUUUUCUAGAGCUCCACAUUGGCAAAGGAGAAGGCUGAGGCUAUUCCAGCCCUCGUGGUCUGUUGCCUCGCAGCUGGCAGGAGAGGAGCUGGGGUGCGGCUCCCUCCUCUGGACGGGGCCUCAGGCGAACAUCGCCCUGAAUUCAGCCAAGCUGGAGGACAGAAGCAGAGCGAGGACGCGCUACGGAGAAACAACCUCAACCCUACUCGUCUUACACGACCAGCUCCGGCAGAAGCCCGGGAGCCACAGGAGAGAGCAGGGCAAGGCCGGAUGGUCCAGGAGCAGCACCCACUGCACGCCUGUUUCCGCCGCUGCCGCUCACGGGGAGCCGUGGCCCCUCUCCACGUCAUCAUGCCACGCGACGGAUGGUCUCAGGACGCACUCGCGAGGCGCUAGUCUGUCGGAAAGCUGCAAAGUGCCCGUUCCCACAGCUUAAACUUUGAGGGUCCAACUUAACAAAAGGAGUCCGGCCUCCCCAAAGGAAAUGGGGGAUUUCAGAGUUUAUUUCUUGUUUUCGGCCCGAACGGCAGAUGACAGGUGCACAGGCGGUUCUCCUGAGUUUCACGUUUUAAGUGAAUAAUUCUGGUUCUUUAAUGAUCACAUGGCGUAAGUUACUGGAACAGACAAUAUUCUGACGGUCUUCUCAAGGUCCUGGAAGAUAACGGGACUAAAGGUGCGAUGUAACACUUGAGAGAGCUGUCGGGUCCUCACUUGUCCCCGAAGCCAAGACGCCGCUGCCUCGGCCGCGGGGCUCCACGGCCGCCCCCGCCCCAGCUGUGGAAGACGCGACGGCGCUUCUGCCACAGAAAAGCCGGCGGCGCGGGGCGCCCGCAGGAGAGUGUGCAGCAAGGCAGCUGCCCUGUGGCGCAGGGACGACCACGUCCUCCUGUAGCGCAUCCAGUAAAAGAUACUUGCGUUCCGUGGAGAGAAAACACACGAGGAUAGGGGUCAUUUAUUUAAAAAAUUCCUAGUUUUGUAACAUCAGGAACCGAGUGGCGCCUGUUAAACUGUAAUUACGUCCGCCGGUACGGUUUUGCAUCCCUUCCAUUUGCGUAAGAGCCGAAGAAUGCUCUUUACCGUGUCAACACUGUUCAAAUAAUGACAUAUUACCUUUAACUCCCCACCUGAGCUUCCAGUUUUCUUUGGAUCAACAUUCAUUUGUCAGUUAUUUCUACAUGCAACUUCCCCUAAAAUACACAGCAGAUUCUGAAAUAGCUUCACAGCCCUGGUGCGGCUGUCAGUAAUGGCCGGAAAAUGUCGAGGGUUUGCCUCGGCGCCUUAUUUUUAUUUAUAAAUUCCCCUUCGCCUUUGCAACAGGACAGCGCAGGUGACGCAUCUGUGUGGGAUUCCUGCCUCCCCUUCGGGUUAAAGUCUCGGCGCCUUUAACCACGGAGCGCGUGGCACCCCGAUGUGUUCAGUAACCACCCAGAAAUGCACCGCACGCCGGGGCUCGUGGCCUCCUUGUAUUUAAUGGGAUCAUUUCGGGGAAAAAGACUAUAAUGAAGAUUAUGUGUGGGGGAGAAAAAUGCUCAAGAAAGAAUUAACUAUGAAAUAAUGUAAUUACUUAUAGGGUCUUGAACGUUUGUUUUUAAUCCGCAGGGGAACUGAAGCAGACCUGCCAUCCCGCGGCAUGUGCUCGCUGGGGAGAGAGGCUGAGCUCCAGCCUUGACGGUGCCUUUGGGCUGGUUGCCUCGUCGAGACCAGGGGCUGAUUUCUUACAAGGGUUAAACUGGCGCGUCCCACAUUAAAUUACCACCAUCGUUCGAUUCAUUAGAGUGGUUGGUGGAGUUGCGAUAUGUCUGUAAUUUAUGGCUCGCUCACCGACGAGCCUCAGGCUAACACACCCUAAUUUGCCAGGGUUAUCUCAAGUUCCAUUCAUCUCCCGCGCUGGCAGGGCUCCUCCGAGUCCGGGCUCCACGGCCGAGGGACGU